rnacentral:rRNA from 1 species
AGUGAACGCUGGCGGUAGGCCUAACACAUGCCAGUCGAACGGCAGCACAGUAAGAGCUUGCUCUUACGGGUGGCGAGUGGCGGACGGGUGAGGAAUACAUCGGAAUCUACUUUUUCGUGGGGGAUAACGUAGGGAAACUUACGCUAAUACCGCAUACGACCUACGGGUGAAAGCAGGGGAUCUUCGGACCUUGCGCGAUUGAAUGAGCCGAUGUCGGAUUAGCUAGUUGGCUGGGUAAAGGCCCACCAAGGCGACGAUCCGUAGCUGGUCUGAGAGGAUGAACAGCCACACUGGAACUGAGACACGGUCCAGACUCCGACGGGAGGCAGCAGUGGGGAAUAUUGGACGAUGGGCGCAAGCCUGAUCCAGCCAUACCGCGUGGGUGAAGAAGGCCUUCGGGUUGUAAAGCCCUUUUGUUGGGAAAGAAAAGCAGCAGGUUAAUACCCCGCUGUUCUGACGGUACCCAAAGAAUAAGCACCGGCUAACUUCGUG